rnacentral:rRNA from 1 species
AACGUAGGGGCGGAGCGUUGUCCGGAAUUAUUGGGCGUAAAGCGCGUGUAGGCGGAAGCUUAAGUCAGGUGUGAAAACUUGGGGCUCAACCCCGAGCCUGCAUCUGAAACUGGGUUUCUUGAGGACGGGAGAGGAAAGUGGAAUUCCUAGUGUAGCGGUGAAAUGCGUAGAUAUUAGGAGGAACACCAGUGGCGAAGGCGACUUUCUGGACCGUAACUGACGCUGAGACGCGAAAGCGUGGGGAGCGAAACAGGAUUAGAUACCCCCGUAGUCCCUGAGCGGGCUGG